rnacentral:rRNA from 1 species
CCUGGAAACAGAUGCUAAUACCGGAUAACAACAGAUGAUGCCUAUCAACUGUUUAAAAGAUGGUUCUGCUAUCACUCUUGGAUGGACCUGCGGUGCAUUAGCUAGUUGGUAGGGUAACGGCCUACCAAGGCGAUGAUGCAUAGCCGAGUUGAGAGACUGAUCGGCCACAUUGGGACUGAGACACGGCCCAAACUCCUACGGGAGGCAGCAACC